AUUAUAAUGCUGCUCUGCACACUUCAGGGACGUCCUCGUCACCCGUAUUCAUCCAGGAGCUCCGCGGGCCUGACCUCUCCAGUCCCAUUGCUCUGGAAACGCCACUGGCAGCAGGAAGGAAUGGCAGAGCAGCCCUCCCCGUGUUCCCCACUCGCUUUGGGUUGGGAACUUUGUUUUCUAGGCUGGGAGCCAGCCCGGAAAACAACCAACAAUAGCUCUGUAGCCUAGCAUGGCAUCCCUGAUCAGGCUGGGAGGAGGAGUGCCCACAGCAGGAUGGAGCCACACCAGGAGCCACCAGCAUCUCUGUGUGUCCAUGGCUUCUCCUGCAGCCUUGCCAUUAGUGCCUACGGUGCUGCUCUCAGAGGCCUCUGUGUCAAUGGUGAGGCAAAGAGGGACACCCAGCCACCUUUCUAGGGCCCUGGCCAAGUAAGCGAGAGGGGGUGGCCUGCUACACUGCAUGCAUUUCAUUUUGCUUUGGGCAGCUGCAAGGUUCCUAGGAUAAUGUAGGUGCUGCCCAGGUAUUGUGUGUCAGCAAGGCCCUAGGAACUAGCAGAAAAUGCAGGAGCAAAGUGCCCAGCAAUUGCCUCUCUUUUUCUCCCUCCCUUCCCUUUCUUCCCCCCCGCCCAGAUCCCCAUGCAGCCUCUCGAAAUGUUUGUUUUCACAGUGUUGGCCUUUUAGCUGUCUGCUGAAUGUUGUCAGGAGAUGCAAGAAGGGUCAAGUCAAGCAGCUAAGUGGUUUUGAAGUGUCGCUGCCUACGCAGCACCCAGACCUCCCCCUGCCAGCUCAGCGCUGCUCAACGUUUUAAAAUGACGAUGUUGUAACACCCUCACCCUUUGUCUUUGCAGGACUGUAGAAGAAUGCUUCAACUACUCCAGUAAUUAAAAAAAUGCCUGCUAGUUGUUUGCUCUUCAAGUGUUCCUGCUCGUUCCCAGUAGCUAAAGCACGAAACGCCACGGGAAGCAAGGGAGAGACUGGUUGAGAGAGGCAGAAUAAACGAGCAUCAUUAUUUCACUCUGAUUCACGCUGGAGAUGUCCGGUUGUUUUACACAGGCACUGGAGCUGGGUGCUGGCAGUUGGUCUUGGCCGAAGAGCCGCAUUGUGGCUCUGAAGCUGCUGCUCACUGCGGUGGGACCUGGGACCUGCUGGUGCCCAGAAGGGUGCCUGGAGAUGGAGCAGAAAGGUUGGAGGAAAGAUUUCCACGUUGUCUAGCGGGGCACAGAGCAGGCUUUGACCUCGGAGGAGCCAAAUGGAGGGGCCAGCAGCAGCCACCCAGUGGCUUUUGACCAUUUUUUUUGUCCAUUUUUCUGGACUCAGCUCUUAAAGGGUAAAUUUCUAAAUGCUCUGUGAAUGAAUGUUCUCUAUUUUUCUCACAGCUCAAAUGUGCCCAAGUAGCUUUCUCUGCACGGUGAGGUUCUGUGCAGCUCAGGCCACUUGAGGGCAGUGGUUGCAUGCCCAGAGCCAGAUUGCUCUCCGAGGAUAAAAGCCCUCAUAAAACAACAAAGUCUCACCGUAGGUGCCAUCGCUUGGACCUAUUUUUUUUUUUUUUUUAUUGUCAGAUACUCCCAGAUUCAGGGGUAUGGUCUAAUAUACUGGGUGUCACAGGAUGUUUGACAAGCCUGAGGCACUAAAGGUGAUAUUCAGAAAGCAAACCAUACAGAAGUUUGCAGGCUUCUUGUUGGAGCUCAGCAUGAUCUGUCUUGUAGAGUUUUUUUUUUUUUUAAAGACACCAAUGGUGUCAGUGCUUUAUGCUUUCAUAAUGCAGCUUCAUAAAUUUACUUGACAAAUAUGAAGAGGCUCUCAUGCCUCUUUCACUGGUGGGGAGCCGAGGUCCAGUUUUCUAAUUUGCAGCUGGGGCUGUUAUUUCUUCUGUGUUUUUACAGAAUUUAACAUAACUUGAACUCAGCCCAGUUGUUGCCCAAAAGCCAUACUUCAGCAGAUGUGCCCAAUAAGACUGGUGGUGAUGUGAUUUGUGCCAGAUUUCACACUAUGUUGGCCCACAGUCUGAGAUGUGACCUGGGCAUCUGGGUGCCCAUACUUUGCUCAUGUAAGGUUUACUUGCUGUACAGUUAUAUGCUUAACUGUUUAUUUUUCUGUGGGGUUUUAAGGUGUCUGGCUCCAUUUAGUGCCAGAAACAGCCUCCUGAGCCUUUGUUAUAUCAUUGUUUCUUCAUUCUCCCCCCCCAGCUGCUGAGUGUUGUCCUUUUGUUCAGGAGGAUGCUCGUGGUGGGUCAGCACCCAUCUGACCACAGGAAUGCCAAAGGACUGGAGCAGCCUGUCCUGAGGUAGGGUUACCCUUGCAGCUGUGUCUGCCCAGUGCUGGAGUGGCCAUCAGGCUUGAAGAGGAUGGGUUUCUGCAGGAGAAAUCACUCCUUGCCAUGAUUUGUUCCAGCUGUGGCUCCCCAAGGCCACAGUUCACUUCUGUUAUCAUCAUCUGGGUGAUGCAGCCCACCUGGCUUCCCAAUUAAAAUCUAGGUACCUUUAGCUCUUUAAAAACAAUAAGAGCCACCGUUUUUCUCCAGAAGCUCCUGUCAUAAUUAAAGCAGAAGCUGACCUGGUUUUGUGUCUCCUUCCCAGCCUUUUGGGUUGCUCAAAUGCUGGUUGCCUUGGGCUUAUUCAUAAAUGCACGCAGGCACGUGCACGUAUGCAAGGCACACUACCAGCUUGUGCUGGCAUGCUGUCUACACUCAGACUCGUACCAGAAUUCCUUUCCACCACUGAGGCUUCCUAUCGCAGCAUUGCUCCCCAGGUGAAUUGACCUGCUGGAGCUCACUGACCCACCUCUCAACCCGCCACAGCCACACCAGACUUCAGGUGUCAUAGGAAGAAAAGAAGAGAAGAUGGUGUGUUUCUGGUCACCUGAGAUGAUUUACAAGCUCCCUUUCUCCUUGCAUUAUCCUUUCAGUGUACAGAAAAGGGGAAGGAAGAGCUGCUAAAACCUGAGCACUGCAUGGCCUUCUGGUGGCUGUGUGGGCAUGAUGGGGAUGGAAACUCCAGGGGGACCUUCCUCUGUCCUUUCUCCAAAUAUAUUUAGGAGCAAAUUAUGUGAGUAAAGACUUGGCAGAAAGACAGAGAAGGAAAGUGAGACGCUGUAUGCAGCUCAUGUCCCAAAAAGCUCGACUCCUGCUGACACAAGUUUGACAGGCUCCCACCUGAUCUCCCAGCUUGUUGUCUCAGAUGAUUUAAAGCAUGGUUGAGCUCUACAGCCUCUGUCAUUACCUGUCCCACUGUCCUGCCAGCAACUCCAUCCUUCAGUGGGUGUCACAGGAAAAGCUUUGUUUUCUGCUUGUGCCAGGGAGCAUUGUGGUAAUGUGGGAGAAACAGCAAUCUUUUACACUUUUUUUCAUAUUGUGAAGGUAAUGGACACCAACUUCUCUUUGACUUGUUCCUGAAAAAUUCCUUGUUUCUCCCAUAAAUCCAAGACUUAUAUAAAGAAUCUGUUUUCCAUCUUAAAGCUAAAGACAAACAUCAAUUUUAAAAUCUAUUUUUAGUGAGUUGCAUUGUAAUUUAUAAUCUUAAACUGAAGUUUUAAAAGUGCUCUCAUCCUUGAAAAGAAGAGACCAUUUCAUUGCUAAUGACUAAUGAUAAAGUGUUUUCUAAAGGUGACUGAGUAUAGCACAAGAAGUCUUAAAUAUAUUUAUUAGCUUAUUAAACAUAAUGAAUUGAAUCUGGUUGCUAAUAUUAGCUAUGCCUUUGUAAGUGAAAAGCACUUUUGGUUAGUUAGACAGUUUCUUAUCAAAGAACAAAAAUACAACAUUAAAACAUAUGCAGCUUACUGAAUAAUCAUGUUAUUUGUCAGACAAGCAGAAGAAUCAUCACUGAAGCACUCUCAACGUGCCAAAUUGGGUAAUAUACAUAAUUAGGAUCCAUUUGAUUAGAUAUGUGCCCAUGGUAACAGCCACACUCAUGAUCCACAUAUUAGUACAGCCUUGAAAUAGUCUUCAAGGAGAAUGAUGGCAACAGUGCACAUCUGAAGCUUUACUGGAGAGACUUUUGGAACAUAACCUACGUACUGAUUUCCUCUGUUUCUGUGGUUAUUCUUUAUUUUUAAACAAUGCAUGCUUUUGUUCUCAAAGGUGAUAUACUGCUUCCACGAAAUGUCACUGCACUUUUAUCCCUAAAAGGAAGAUCUCGUAAUCAUCUACAUAACAUUUUAAAGCCCCAAACCUUCCUAUAUUUAGGGACAUAUCCCAGCAAUUGGCAAGACUGCUGCAAGCUGUUACUGGGAGGUGGGAGCAAUCAUCACCUGGAAGCCAGCCCAUCUCAGAUCCACUCUCCUCUUGGAGCCCAGGACAGCCCGGUGAUGGAUAAGGCCUUCUGGAUGUUCUUUUAGGCUGUUGCAGGAGCCUCAUGAAGACACUGCAAGGACUCAGAGAGAAGAUAGAUUUUGCAUCAGAUCCAAACCUCUGAGAGAGCCUGCAAGUGCUGAUCUACUGCCAACCCACAGGGAAUGAGUCUGGAGGGUACUAUUUGGGUAACAGUGGAACCCAAGAGAGUUUGUUUAGCCGUAGAUGCAAUAUGAAUUGUUCCUGCAGUUUAUUUUUACAUCCUUAAAGGGUGAAUGAGUUUGGAAAAGUUGGGCAGAGGCAGGGAAUUAGCAGAAUGAAUUAUUAGGGGUUAUUUAUACAAAAUGAGAGAAGUAGAUCUCCUGGCACAACAGCGUAUGUCCGGGACGAUGAGAGUUGCUGCUUUUGCAGUAGUGACCACUGGGAAAUAUUUAAAAGAAUCUUUUUCCCCCCAAAAGGAAGAGAUCAGAAUAUAGAUAAGUUUGCCCAGGUGAAGGCACCAGGCAAAGACUGGCUUGUAGUGGGGAAACCUGGGCAACAAAUACCGAGAGUCUGGCAGAAGAGGAGUGUGGAUCACCCCUGGAGAAGUCCUGGCCAGCCUGAUCCAGAGGGGUAGGAUGGAUGUGACUAGAAUCUGGCCAUGUGAACUAUCCCACCAGUGCAAGAGAGCCGUCAUGUACCCAUGUGCAGACACCUUACACUGUAGAAACAAGACAGGACCCUGGUUGGGGAUAUAUAAUGGAGAGGGAGUCAGCACUGAAAGACUGUGCAAAACAACGAUUCAGGAAGUCUUCUGGCUUUUUGGGAAAAAGGGGUUUAUCUCAAGUGUAUAGGAAACACAGAACAGCUAAAAUGAUUUCAUGGAGGAGCACAGGGGAAGACUUUACUCUCUGUUUUGGCUUUUGCUCUGGCAGAAGAGGAGCACUUUUCUCCAAGGGGCCGGUGACACACACAGCCGUGUUUGCAGCCUUCAGCUGGAAGGCAACAAUACUGUAAGUUAUGGCUACACAAGGCAGUCAAACUGUUACUAGGUAUGGUGGUAGGAUUAUACAGGCAAAAGUAGACUUGUGGGUCCAUCUUGGGCAUGCACUGCCUGAUUCAGAAUGGGUCACCUUUCUCCAUAUUAGUGUGCUGUUAAUCACACUGGGGACAGGAUCCAUAAUCCUCAGCAACAGAAAUUAAGUUCACUGAUCAAAAUGCACUAAAGUGGUUUGUCAAAUUCCUACAUCCUUCUUUUUCAGCAAGCGCUCUUUUUAGUAUGGCUCCCCAAAGCAGGGGAUUAUUCAAACGAUUCACACUUGCAGUAUAAACUAUUUGGUCUGAAACAGUUCAGACCAAAACCCACACCUGCCCUGGCUGGGAGGGAGGACCGCUUUUUUGUGUGAAUCCUACAGCACCAGUAGUGAUGCUGCCUCCUGUAUGUGACAGAACACUUGUACUGGGCGUGCCCAGAUGCUUGGGAUGUCCUGCAGGCUGAAGGGUGUCCUCUGGCCAUGGGGCUGCCGGUCUGGCAUCUCUGUGGGUGGUGAAACCAGCCUGGAAAAGGCACAGCAGAUGUACCCAGCGUGAGUGUGAGAGUGCUCAGGCACACAUACGUAUAUAGAGAGUAUUAGUCCCUCCUGUGAUAAACAGCUCUAAGGAGAGCUAUGUGAAAUUUUGAGUUUCUGCUUCUGUUUUCCAGAACAGAACAAACUGGGGCAAAAAAAUAGGAAAAAAUUGUUUCCUGGAAUUAAAACAGUCAUGUUCAGAAAUGUCUACAUGUUCUGUUUUGACAUUUUUUGGAUCAAAGUGAAGCAUUUUGACGUUUCUGAGGUAGGAAUGUUUUGUUUCAAUUUGUUGAACUGACAUGAAACGUUUCAUUUCAAGUCUGCUUAACAUUAAAGUAGGCAGUCCGUUUCCUUGGGUUUGGGUCCCAUUCUCUCCUCUGGGCUGUGCUCCCUGGGAGCUUUGCCCAGCUCCCAUAAAGCUUGGGCAAGGUCCACGUUGUUCUCAGUAAAUGUAGCUCAGCCACAAGGCCCCAUGCACAGGAAAGAACAGAGGCCUUUUCGGGAAAGUUCAUUUUGAUGUCGAACUGAACCAGAAUGAAAAAGUGGGGGGCAGUUCACCCCUGACAGUUCACCCCUGACAAAACACAAUCUCAUUUCAGCGGUGUCCCUAUCUUCCCAAGGGCGUUUUUUAAUUGUGCAGAAGCUGUUUUCUGAUCAAAAAAGGAGGAAGUCUCCCAGCGAGCGCCUGUAUAGGUGUUGACAAGAUCUACAUCAAUCAGCUCCCCAGAGGGCUGCAGGCUGGUCCCCUGGACUUAGUCCUUAGUGUGGGGAUGGAGCAGACCCCCCGGAGCACACACUCCCUGGACAAGCUGUGGAGCCCCGCUCGCCUGCUCGAGGCGCUGGCUGAGGCCCAGGCAGCCUCUGGCUUGGCUGGCCCCCAGGGGGAGCGAGGGUGAGAGGGCUGAAAUAAGAACAGAAGUUGCUCUCGGGAUGUUAGCAGACCCUCUUCUUUUCUGGAGACGGCUGUCGGGUCUUGCUGGUGUUCCUGAAGAAUUUUACCUAAAAGCUGCUCUGGUUCAUUCUCGACCAGGCAGAUCCUACUGCUUGCUGUGCAGGACUGGGCCCCUCCUCCCCCUUUCCUGGGCAGCAGCUUCAAAAGAUCUCUGAUUUUGCUCUCCAAUCAAGCAAUCUCAUUUGCAAAACAAC